rnacentral:SRP_RNA from 1 species
AGCCUUGUGCGGCGGAGUCCCGCGAACCCUGUCAGGUCCGGAAGGAAGCAGCAGUAAACGGAUUUCUCCGGGUGCCAUGAGUUCACU